UCUGCUUUGGGGCUGAGGCUAUGCAAGUAGUGUCCCCUUAGGCCACAGAAAGGGAAAGUGUCACUUUUGAUCCCAGUGCUGAGGUGCGCAGGGUAGAGCAGUCCCAGUGUGUAUCGUGUCACUUGUCUAACGUACCUGGUGUUGUUUAUAUGUCUCAUGUCAUGCAUCGUCUACCUUAGCCCUUUGAGGGGCCCAUCAGAAACCCUGGCAUCAUUCUUAGCGUCUGUGAUCUCUGCAUUUCUUGGCCUGGCACAAAUGCAGUAGGACUUUUGGCUCAGGAGCUCAGACAGGCAUCAGAAUUGCAUUUCUGUUUGGGAGCUUCCAGUCAGAUGUCUUUGCAGGUCUUGUUCUGAGCUGUACGUACUGCUGUGCAUCGCAAGGAUCCAUUAUGGCAGAUUAGGGCUUGUAAGAAUGCAAAGAUAGGUAGAGGAUUCUGACUGUAGGAUUCUCAGAUGUCCAUCUUUGCAGUUCUUUGACAAAAUCAUUCUCUUAGGAGAUACUUCCUCCAUGGUUGUCUGAGCCUCAUCAGCUCACUGUCAAUCUCACCUCAGUCAUUUCAUUUUCCAUUCUCUCAGUCCUUGCAGUCAUUCUUCUUGUCAAGAGAUUUCUGUCCCUGUUGUGUCCUCAUUGUUUGUCCUGUCCCGUGUCACGGGCGUCCGCACACGUUUGUGUUGGCGCUGCUCUGCCCUGCCGCGUAGCCUGGUGUAAUAGGACACAUCCUGGGGGCUUGAAAUUUGUAAUGUGGGGUGUAGUUGGAUUCUAGAUGGUAUUCCUAGGUUGACUCUAGGAAGUUGUCUGGAGCUGUGAAGUUAUCCUGCUGCCCUUUGAACUUUGUCCUGACUCUGUUUCAGAUGCAGACAGAUAAAAUCCAUGGCAGAGCUCCCUAUCCCAGCAUUGUUCUUUUUGUUUAUUUUUAGGAAGUAAAGCCAUCUAGCAGCAGUCAAGGCAAAGUGGUCGAGGCAGUCCACUUUCAGUCCAUGCCAGCUGAGGAUGCCCGAUGCCAGGUACCUUCCAGGCAGACUCUGGAGUCAAAUCAAGAUUUGAGGUACCGCGAGGAGCUUCGUAGGCAAAGUUUGGAGAGAGCGCCACCGAAGCACACGAGACCGUCUCAACGUCCACGUCCCACCGGGGAUGGAUUUUGUCAGCUCGUCAUCCAAAAGCUAAGUGUCGGGGUCCAUAGUUGGGAGAAGGGGAAAAACCUUUACUAUCACAGGAGGCCAUGUGAUGUUAGCUUAGCGGAGCAAUCUGUAGCGGAACAGGUCCCUCGGAUAUAAAGGGAGAGGGUUUCUCCUCGGCCUCACCAGAGCCUUUGCCGGGCAGGGCAGUUCCGACCAGUCUCCACGUUCUCGCGAACUUUGCGUCGUCAGCCUCCUUCGACCCUCGACAUCGUCGUGGAUCUUUCUCCCGAGGAGCUCGCCUUCGGGUCCGGAGCUAUAGCCACCAUCACCCGGCAGUCAUUGCUUCCUUCUCUAGGCCCACCGAGCCUCUCGAGCAUCCUCUUAACUGCUUUGGCACUAACUUCUUUUAAGGAGUUGCAUUUCAUCGUCACACGCUAUUGCCAUAGGACUCGCUUUACUUUGGCAUCCUUGGCCUCUGGCUCAUCUUGCGCUAGGAAUCUUGAGUCCAUAAGGUGAAACUGCUAGGCAGUUUCCACCCGUGUCUGUGUUAUGUCACCUGUGUCUGUGUUACGUUGUCUACGUUACAGUGUCUGCGUUAUGUAGUCUGUGUCCAUCGUCUUCCGUGUCGUAGGCCUUUGUUACAUCUCAACGCCAUAUCGGCCUCAUUCCGUGCCGUAUCGGCCAUAUUUUACUCGCGUUCCUUCCCGGACAUUGCUUAUUCUGCCAUCUCUCUUUUGAGACACAAAGAAGUACACAAGAGGUUCUCAUCAGUCUUCCGUCUCAGCUGCGGUAGUGCCUUUUUCUUCCUGUGCUAUUCUCUUGGGCUUCUAUAGGGAGUGUCUUACACCCUCCUCAUGUGACUGCCAUAGUUCUGUAGGUUCCAUCUUCUCAAAGGGUACGGUGCUCAAGAAUUAAUCUUCCAGAGAGUUAUCCGAAGUCCUGGUUUACAUUGUAUGUGCUUAUGUUGUAUGUACCUAUGUUGGCUUAUAUUGUAUGUAAUUAUAUUGUAUGAAUCUAUGUUGGCUUAUAUUGUAUGUGCUUAUAUUGUAUGAAUCUAUGUUGGCUUAUAUUGUAUGUGCUUAUAUUGUAUGAAUCUGUUGGCAUAUAUUUGCAUGUACUUGUAUGGUAUGUAAUUCUGUUGGCUUAUAUUGUGCGUACUUGUAUGGUAUGUAAUUCUGUUGGCUCAUAUUGUGCGUAUUUAUAUCGCGCCACUUACGGUCGGAGCUGCCCUGCCCUGGCACGUAGUCACAGUUAGGUAGAACAGUUAUAAAAACUUUACCAUUCAUCUAUCUUCUAUGGGAUUUUGGGUAGAAAACUUAGGGGCCCGGAGCAGGGACAAGUCCUAGCCGUCAGCCACUCGUUGACCACCUCCCGUUGUCUCACAGGUCCCCGAGGCGACCGAUUUUCCUGGAAUCUACCAUUUGACGUGAAGGAGCGGCAGCCAGAUGACGCGUCGAAGCACGUUCAGGGUUUCAAGUAGGGCUGCAGCGAACGUGUGAGUCGAAGAGCGUGCGAGUCUGCGUGAGUGCGAGCGACUGUCUGCGUCCGCUUGUCUCUGCGUGUGCGAGUGUAUGCUGACCAGAUCUAACCUUGUGCGUGUGACGUUUUCCUUUCAGGUUUUUCAACACAUUUUAAAAUUUAGAAUAAAAAAUCCCCAGCCGGGGGGUUUUUUUUUUUUUUUCCCCCCGGCUGGGUUUUUUUUUCCUCGGUCCCAGCCGGUCCGCGAGGCGACGUUCAUCGCCAAAGUUUGGGGGCGGACCGUCCCGGGACCGGGGUUUUUGUCAGGCAGGAGGAUUUUUUUGGAGGCUCCCGGGAACCACGUUCCUGAGGAGCGGCACGAAUGCGUGCCGGGGGUCAGCAGGGCGGUUGAGGUGCGAGCGAGGGUGGGUUUGUGUGUAAGCUGAAGGAGAGCUGUGGGUGCGUGUGUUGAUGACUGGUUCUAACCUUGUGUGUAUGACUUUUUCCUUUCAGGUUUUUCAACACAUUUUAAAAUUUAGAAUAAAAAAUCCCCAGCCGGGGGUUUUUUUUUUUUUUCCCCCCGGCUGGGUUUUUUUUUCCUCGGUCCCGGCCGGUCCGCGAGGCGACGUUCAUCGCCAAAGUUUGGGGGCGGACCGUCCCGGGACCGGGGUUUUUGUCAGGCAGGAGGAUUUUUUUGGAGGCUCCCGGGAACCACGUUCCCGAGGAGCGGCACGAAUGCGUGCCGGGGGUCAGCGGGGCGGUUGAGGUGCGAGCGAGGGUGGGUUUGUGUGUAAGCUGAAGGAGAGCUGUGGGUGCGUGUGUUGUUGACUGGUUCUAACCUUGUGUGUAUGACUUUUUCCUUUCAGGUUUUUCAACACAUUUUAAAAUUUAGAAUAAAAAAUCCCCAGCCGGGGGGUUUUUUUUUUUUUCCCCCCGGCUGGGUUUUUUUUUCCUCGGUCCCGGCCGGUCCGUGAGGCGAUGUUCAUCGCCAGAGUUUGGGGGCGGACCGUCCCGGGACCGGGGUUUUUGUCAGGCAGGAGGAUUUUUUUGGAGGCUCCCGGGAACCACGUUCCCGAGGAGCGGCACGAAUGCGUGCCGGGGGUCAGCGGGGCGGUUGAGGUGCGAGCGAGGGUGGGUUUGUGUGUAAGCUGAAGGAGAGCUGUGGGUGCGUGUGUUGUUGACUGGUUCUAACCUUGUGUGUAUGACUUUUUCCUUUCAGGUUUUUCAACACAUUUUAAAAUUUAGAAUAAAAAAUCCCCAGCCGGGGGUUUUUUUUUUUUUUCCCCCCGGCUGGGUUUUUUUUUCCUCGGUCCCGGCCGGUCCGCGAGGCGACGUUCAUCGCCAGAGUUUGGGGGCGGACCGUCCCGGGACCGGGGUUUUUGUCAGGCAGGAGGAUUUUUCUGGAGGCUCCCGGGAACCACGUUCCAGGGGAGCACCGUGAAUGCGUGCCAGGGGUCAGCAGAGCGGUUGAGGUGCAAGCGAGGAUGGGUUUGCGUGUAAUGUGAAGGAGGUGUUCACAAUGGAUGCGUGUUGCGUUCUGUGUGCUGCCUUUGUUUUGGGGUUCCUGUAACAAUAAAUCCAAGUGUAAUGAAAGUAGAAACAAGGUUAUCAUCUUGUGUUAAUAUGUGUUUGGCUUAUGUUCGGUGUUGCCUUGUAUUUGCAUUUCUGUAUAUUGCUCUGUAUGUAAAAUGGACUUUUACCAGCAUGUGUAUGGAUUGUAUGUGUACUCGCAUUUGUAUACACUCUUUCCAUGUGUUUUGCUCAAGUGUAAAUAGGAAAAUUCAUUCAAUAAAGUCGAAUCAACCUGAAUAAAGAUUCCCCCACCCCCCCC